rnacentral:lncRNA from 1 species
AAGGGCUAUUCCUAAGGCAUACAAAGAUAAAGAGAGAGGAUAAAACCCUUGGAGUUCCUUUUCUUGAAAUCAUAGAGAUGAUUCAAGAUGCUCCUUUCCUAUGGACUUAGCAAACAUAAUCAAGCAAUCAAACAAUUUAGAUUCAAGCUCCUAGGAUCUCCAUUUGGCUUGUCUCUCUUAACUUGGCUAUUCAUGAUAAUGG